rnacentral:rRNA from 1 species
UACAGAGGGUGCAAGCGUUGUUCGGAAUUACUGGGCGUAAAGCGCACGUAGGCGGACUGUUAAGUCGGGGGUGAAAUCCUGGGGCUCAACCUCAGAAUUGCCUCCGAUACUGGCAGUCUCGAGUGCGGGAGAGGUGAGUGGAAUUCCCAGUGUAGAGGUGAAAUUCGUAGAUAUUGGGAAGAACACCAGUGGCGAAGGCGGCUCACUGGCCCGUAACUGACGCUGAGGUGCGAAAGCGUGGGGAGCAAACAGG